AACCCAUGGUGAGGGCACCAUCUCGUAGAUGUUUGCAUCUCUCCCAUGCAUCAUAUAAAGUCUCUAAAUCAAUUUGAACAAAGGAAGAGAUAUCAUUCAUCAACUU
rnacentral:snoRNA from 1 species